UACGGGGGGAGCAAACGUUGUUCGGAAUCACUGGGCGUAAAGGGCGUGUAGGCGGUUCGGUAAGUGGAAUGUGAAAUCCCCGGCUUACCCGGGGAACGUGCAUCCCAUACUGCUGGACUUGAGUGCGGGAGAGGAUGGAGGAAUUCCCGGUGUAGCAGUGAAAUGCGCAGAUAUCAGGAGGAACACCGAUGGCGAAGGCAGAUCUCUGGGCCGUAACUGACGCUGAGGAGCGAAAGCGUGGGGAGCGAACAGG
rnacentral:rRNA from 1 species